CACAGAGAUUGAUAAGCGGAUUCUCCGGCAGUAGUUUAUAAGCUUCGAGGUAUUCUCGCGCCGCAUCCUGAUGGUGACUCACAGCAGUAAACUGAUGGCCGCUGAUUACAAUAGGAGGCACACAAUCUCUAUGCUUUGAUCGCAAAUAGCGCAUGAACUUUGAAUGCUUUGAAUGACAAGUGCGUUAGUUGGUUUGGGC
rnacentral:lncRNA from 1 species